rnacentral:rRNA from 1 species
GAUGAACGCUGGCGGCGUGCCUAAUACAUGCCAGUCGAGCGAACAGACGAGGCGCUUGCUCCUCUGACGUUAGCGGCGGACGGGUGAGUAACACGUGGAUCACCUCCCUAUAAGACUGGGAUCACUUCGGGACACCGGCGCUAAUACCGGAUAAUCUCUUGAACCGCAUUGUUCAAUAGUGAAAGACGGUUUUGCUGUCACUUAUCGAUGGAUCCGCGCCGCAUUAGCUAGUUGGUAAGGUCACGGCUUACCAAGGCGACUAUGCGUAGCCGACCUGAGAGAGUGAUCGGCCACACGGGAAGGGAGACACGGACCAUACGCCUACGGGAGGCAGCAGUAGGGAACGGGCCGCAAUGGGCGAAAGCCUGACGGAGCAAGGGCGCGUGAGUGAUGAAGGUCUUCGGAGCGGAAAACUCUGUUAUGAGUGAAGAACAAAUGUGGAAGGAACUAUGCACGGCUUGACGGUACCGAAUCAGAAAGCCACGGCUAACUACGUG